CCAAGUGUAGCGGUGGAAUGCGUAGAUAUAUGGAGGANCACCAGUGGCGAAAGCGGCUCUCUGGUCUGUCACUGACGCUGAGGCUNGAAAGCGUGGGUAGCGAACAGGAUUAGAUACCCUGGUAGUNCACGCCGUAAACGAUGAGUGCUAGGUGUUAGGCCCUUUCCGGGGCUUAGUGCCGGAGCUAACGCAAUAAGCACUCCGCCUGGGGAGUACGACCGCAAGGUUGAAACUCAAAGGAAUUGACGGGGGCCCGCACAAGCGGUGGAGCAUGUGGUUUAAUUCGAAGCAACGCGAAGAACCUUACCAGGUCUUGACAUCCCGAUGCUAUUCUUAGAGAUAGGAAGUUACUUCGGUACAUCGGAGACAGGUGGUGCAUGGUUGUCGUCAGCUCGUGUCGUGAGAUGUUGGGUUAAGUCCCGCAACGAGCGCAACCCUUAUUGUUAGUUGCCAUCAUUAAGUUGGGCACUCUAGCGAGACUGCCGGUAAUAAACCGGAGGAAGGUGGGGAUGACGUCAAAUCAUCAUGCCCCUUAUGACCUGGGCUACACACGUGCUACAAUGGUCGGUACAACGAGUUGCGAGCCGGUGACGGCAAGCUAAUCUCUGAAAGCCGAUCUCAGUUCGGAUUGGAGGCUGCAACUCGCCUCCAUGAAGUCGGAAUCGCUAGUAAUCGCGGAUCAGCACGCCGCGGUGAAUACGUUCCCGGGCCUUGUACACACCGCCCGUCACACCACGAGAGUUUGUAACACCCGAAGUCGGUGAGGUAACCUUUUAGGGGCCAGCCGCC
rnacentral:rRNA from 1 species